AUUGAACGCUGGCGGCAGGCCUAACACAUGCAAGUCGAGCGGAUGAAGGGAGCUUGCUCCUGGAUUCAGCGGCGGACGGGUGAGUAAUGCCUAGGAAUCUGCCUGGUAGUGGGGGAUAACGUCCGGAAACGGGCGCUAAUACCGCAUACGUCCUGAGGGAGAAAGUGGGGGAUCUUCGGACCUCACGCUAUCAGAUGAGCCUAGGUCGGAUUAGCUAGUUGGUGGGGUAAAGGCCUACCAAGGCGACGAUCCGUAACUGGUCUGAGAGGAUGAUCAGUCACACUGGCAGUGAGACACGGUCCAGACUCCUACGGGAGGAAGCAGUGGGGAAUAUUGGACGAUGGGCGAAAGCCUGAUACAGCCAUGCCGGGUGUGUGAAGAAGGUCUACGGAUUGUAAAGCGCUGUAAGUUGGGAGGAAGGGCAGUAAGUUAAUACCUUGCUGUUUUGACGGUACCAACAGAAUAAGCACCGGCUAACUUCGUG
rnacentral:rRNA from 1 species